rnacentral:rRNA from 1 species
UCUCUAUGCGGUGCCAGCCGCCGCGGUAAUACGGAGGAUCCAAGCGUUAUCCGGAAUCAUUGGGUUUAAAGGGUCCGUAGGCGGCCCUGUAAGUCAGUGGUGAAAUCUCCCGGCUCAACCGGGAAAUUGCCAUUGAUACUGCAGGGCUUGAAUUACUGGGAAGUAACUAGAAUAUGUAGUGUAGCGGUGAAAUGCUUAGAGAUUACAUGGAAUACCAAUUGCGAAGGCAGGUUACUACCAGUGGAUUGACGCUGAUGGACGAAAGCGUGGGUAGCGAACAGGAUUAGAUACCCUGGUAGUCCACGCCGUAAACGAUGGAUACUAGCUGUUGGGCGCAAGUUCAGUGGCUAAGCGAAAGUGAUAAGUAUCCCACCUGGGGAUACGAACGCAAGUUUGAAACUCAAAUGAAUUGACGGG